rnacentral:lncRNA from 1 species
AAAAGAACCUAUAUCCAAAGAGCUGGGUUCUCCUUUCGGAUGUGAUGUUGAACAGUUUCUCUGUGUGCUUCAUCUCCACCUCCCUCCCAGCUUUUAUGUCCCUUCUACUUCGUCUUCAAACUCGAGUUCAAAUCUCCUUCCCUCUGAAAACCCCCUCUCGACUGCGCUACCCAUUGUAAAGACCGACUCUUCAGUGAAGGCUGCUGAUAAAUUCACCAGAUUUGCUCAGGGAUUGUCAGCUAGAGCUCACAAAACUACUAAUCUAUCAGCCCUCUGGUUGGAUACUUCAAAAUGGAUGUGAGCACAUGUAUAAGGCAGAGCUACAUUUAUAAACAGGUAAUCUUGUAAAUGUUAACAUUUGCAAUUGAGGUAAUAGUUCCCUUCACUUAUCAUUCAUUAUAAGAACAAUUAAAAUGUUUAUUUCUCUAAUCUACGGCUAUUUCUUGAGGUGAUUUAUAUCAAAU